AACAGCUGGUCCCAGGGUCACUGGGUUCGUCCGUUGUGAAUGGACCCGUACUCGACGCAAAGAACUGGUGGUGGGGGUUCAAUCAUCGCAAUGAAUUACAACGAGCCAGUCACCGAGAGUGACUCACUACGCUGCUCUAGCCGCUGCAGCUCGAUAAAAGUCUUUUUCUUUGCCCUGCUCGUGCCGGAGGAAUUCGAGAGAGCCCCGGGGAGCAGAAAGAGAGGCGCUCAAGGAACGCCAACAGAAGCGGCCGCUUAUGAAUCAUCUGUGUACGCGGGCAAAAUGCUUCGGCGAGGGGACACACAGUACAGUCGGAGAACAAGAGGACUUUCGUUCGUCGCGACUGCCAACCUAACGGGAUUUCUAGUGCUCUUAAUGGCUCCCUGCUAACUCUUUGUUCCUGCGGUUGUAUAACUGAAUUUCGAGAUGGAAAUGGGAAAUUAGUACUAAUUGAGGAUUUUCGCUUUCGUUGGCGUAGGACUUUCUCAUCAUGGAACGGUCGGAUGAUCGGCGCUCGUGAGAACACACGUAAGACGCGUCCUAUGCAACCUAUGCAAUGUUCAACGAAGUAAUUAGGUGAUUGAACAAAAGACUGGCUGGUUAUUACGUCUAUGAAAGGCUUCUACGAAUUGCUCUCGAAAGCACGUUCCAUUAACCUAAGGCACAGUACAUAGAAACAUUUGAUGAAUCCACGGGAAAUAGCGUCAAGUAUUAGCAUGUUUCAGAAGAUGAAAAUAUAUUUUUCAACAUAUGAUAUCAAAGCUUGUAAAUAAUUUAAAUGUUACAUAUCAAAAUGAAA